GCGAGGUGCGCCAAGUGUUCCGUGCGCCUGACUGUUCCCUCCCGCCCUCCGCCCUUCUCCCGUCCUUAGCUGUGCGUGUUUAGGAGUGAUUAACUGAGUCGUCUGCGGGAGGCAACUCAAGCAAGGCUGGAGAACGUGGAAACUGGGGGCCCCGGCGGCAGGCUGUUCAUUAGUAGCGCUCCGACACCUGCAGACACGCUCCCCGUGGCUAAGGUGACGGGAAGCGAGGAUUUAGGGCAAUUAUAGUCAUCAGAACGGUCUUGAAGCUGAGGGGAUUGAAGGGGCGAGAUCCGAUAUGAAGGCUUAUCCGGUAUUGCCUCUGAUUCGCCGUCUCCGUGAUCCGAUUGUCUCGUAAGCAACUUCACUUCCCUCCCAUCAAUAAAACAAGAGAGGGAAGGAAGGGAAGGGAAGGGAACAGCAAGGACGCGUGGUGAACCCCAGCGUUGUGUGAAGACAUGUUUUAUUAGCUGUUCAGUGGAUCGUCGAUGUUAUGUGUUUUGUAUGUGUUUCAUUUGCAGGGAUAUGAGUGGGUAGUAUACAGACAGAUAAUGGAUGGAUAGAGAGAUAGACAGAUGAAUUGACUGAUUGAUUAAUUGAUAGCUAUGUUUGUUUAUAUUUUUCUUUUCUUGAUAUCUCCAUCGUAUCCUUUUUCUGCCGUUCGUAUAUCGGGGAGUUCCAUUUGUCCAUCGUGGGAGCCGUGGAGUAAUGUAAAAGCGGCUGGCUGUGUCCGUAGAGUUUUACCGCCGCCACCGAGAGAACGCACCGCCUGCAAUACAUAUAUACAUACACGCAUAGAUGGAUAGAUAGAUAAAUAAAUGGAUAGGUAGGUUUAUAUGGAAAUACAGUAAAUAAUUCGAUAGAUAGGUUGAUUAAGAACGAAAUUGAUGCAGGUGUCUUUGACUGGGAUAGGAGGAAUGUGUUUGUUGAGGGGACUGGAAGGGAGUGGAUGGUGCUGCUGCUGGGGCUGAGUGGAGGCACGAAGGGAAGAGUGAUGGAAGCAGUGAGAGAGUUCCUGGAAAAAAUUGCGCUUACAAGAUGCAGGUAAUAGGUAAGCUUGGAUAUUGUCCCAUGUACUAAGGAUACUGUCUGCUGAUACUGCCUGCUGCUGGGGCUGAGUGGAGGCACGAAGGGAAGAGUGAUGGAAGCAGUGAGAGAGUUCCUGGAAAAAGUUGCGUGUACAAGAUGCAGGUAAUAGAUAAGCUUGGAUAUUGUCCCGUGUACUAAGGAUACUGGCUGUUCUGUACAUUCACCUUUUACCUUCGCAUCGUAAGGUUUUUUUUUCCAAAUUCUGGACUUUUAUUCGUCCUAAGGUAUUCUCACCUGGUAGGGCCAUACCAACGCUGAGUGGUAGCGUGCUGG